UACGGAGGAUGCAAGCAUUAUCCGGAAUGAUUGGGCGUAAAGCGUCCGCAGGUGGCUAUGUAAGUCUGCUGUUAAAGAGUGAGGCUCAACCUCAUAAGAGCAGUGGAAACUACAUGGCUAGAGUGCGUUCGGGGCAGAGGGAAUUCCUGGUGUAGCGGUGAAAUGCGUAGAGAUCAGGAAGAACACCGGUGGCGAAAGCGCUCUGCUAGGCCGCAACUGACACUCAUGGACGAAAGCUAGGGGAGCGAAUGGG
rnacentral:rRNA from 1 species